AUAAAGAUUUUGUGUAUGUAUGUAUGUAUGUGAUCAAUAAGGCGGUUCCCCCGGAGUGAGGCCCUUUCAUUGCACUACGAUCGGGCUGACCUCUGCGAUUAUCCCUAAUGCGGAUAACUCGGGCGCGUAAUUUUUGGUAGUCGGGACUGCGUACGCGCUGUCCCGG